rnacentral:lncRNA from 1 species
CAAGGGUUCACAGUGAUAGAGUCACACAAGUACAGUGACAGCCCCUCACUCCAGACAUUGAUAAGAGCACGUUAAAUAUCACUAUGGUUUUGUGAGCCGGAGAAAUGUCACUCUCACUACACUACAUUCUGUCUUCUUUCCAUCCUUGUUCCAUUCACCCUCUAAGUGCGUUUUCGGAGUGGAUCCCUAGAAGUGGGAUUGCUGGGUCAAAAGGUCAGGCAUGGCAGGCGUACAGCACAGGAACUGAGAGAACCUGCUCCUGUAUCCAUGGCAGGCAUCACAGAUUGAUCAUGGACAUUUUCCCACUAGUUACAGAAGCAGAUCCUAAACAGUUAAUCAAAACAUAUCAUGAAAUCAAACCUACUUGUCAUUAAAAAUAUUUAGUGUUUUAAUAUAAAGUUGUAUAAAUUCUCUCAAUAAUAAUUAGGUUAAAAUUUUAAGUAGUGAUAUUGGUAAACCUGGGUACCUUCUGGUGAGGUACUGCAGGGGGUAUAACUGGGAGAUGCCAAGAGGAAUUUAGUCGCCAUUCACCAAAAUUCCUGCUGUGUUCUAAGUUCUGUGUUCAGGAGUUUAAAUAAUAUGGUCCUUGUCCUCUUGGACUGCCAGGUAAGCAGAGGAGACAAACAGAUGCAAAAAUGGCCAUAAUACAACGCAGGAAGUGAGAAAGUCCAUACAAACCAAGUGGCUGAGAAGCUGGUGGCAGAACUGGUGAAGGUUCCUU